CAGAGGGGUUUGCUACAUUGCGUGUCCCCCCCUGCUACUAUUUAUUCAUUAAAGCCUUAAUGGCAAAACUAAUGGCACAGUUGCACACUCCAUUGUCGGAUUAACAACAGCAUGAACUGAAGUCAUCAAACAUCAAAAAUAACAUAUGCUGCCCUACAUAACACCAGAAGAGACAACCUUUGAUGGUUGGACGGAUCAGCAAGCAGCGCAGCGGAGGUAGUAAACAGGUGGACGGAUCAGCAAACGGCGGCGUGGAGGUGGCAUGCAGGCGGCCAUGAUAGCGAGAAUAAUGAUGAGUACCAUGACAAUCCCCUUCAAAUCCAAACCAUUACUGCCGUCACAAAAUUGAGUGCACAUGAUCUUGCCCAUAUUCUAAACCUUGUAAUAAGAGCCUCUUUUUUGGUCCUUCCGUGCUCUCCUCUGAAAUGGAAACGCAACAAUAAAGAGAAAUGAUAGGUGAUUUUUUGUUUGGU
rnacentral:misc_RNA from 1 species